CCCCUCUCAGGAUUGCACCUGGAGAAUUUCCAAUAUUCCACCAGUCUCGACUACGGGAGGGAGAGAGCCAAACAGAAGCAUACCCAUUCCAUUCCUAGCUUGGGCAGUGGCUAGCGAGUGGAAAGUAAUCUGCUACAAGU